rnacentral:rRNA from 1 species
UACGUAGGGUGCGAGCGUUUAAUCGGAAUUACUGGGCGUAAAGCGUGCGCAGGCGGUUCGUUGUGUCGGUGGUGAAAGCCCCGGGCUUAACCUGGGAAUGGCCAUGGAAACUGGCGAACUGGAGUGUGGCAGAGGGGGGUGGAAUUCCGCGUGUAGCAGUGAAAUGCGUAGAGAUGCGGAGGAACACCGAUGGCGAAGGCAGCCCCCCUGGGCUAGCACUGACGCUCAGGCACGAAAGCGUGGGGAGCAAACAGG